rnacentral:rRNA from 1 species
AUACAGAGGGUGCAAGCGUUAAUCGGAAUUACUGGGCGUAAAGCGCGCGUAGGCGGUUUAAUCAGUCGGAUGUGAAAGCCCCGGGCUCAACCUGGGAACUGCAUUCGAUACUGUUAAGCUAGAGUAUGGUAGAGGGAAGUGGAAUUCCAGGUGUAGCGGUGAAAUGCGUAGAUAUCUGGAGGAACAUCAGUGGCGAAGGCGACUUCCUGGACUCGACCUGACGCUGAGGUACGAAAGCGUGGGUAGCAGACGGGAGUAGAAACCCCAGUAGUCC